AAGACUCUUGAGAGUGAGAUAAAUUUUAGGUCAUCAAAAAUAUGUAGCAUAAACAACCAAUUGUGUUUCUUACCCAUUCUAUGGUUUCAUUGGUACCCAAGCUAGACCAGAAUGCAUUUCGUUUGUCUAGUUGAGAAUGUCUGGACUUCACACACAAGCAGUUCAUCACRUAGAUGAAGCAGUGUAGACGUCCAUUUGAACUACUUCAUCGUCUAUCCAUGGAGCUACAAAAUCGGAGUUAAAAUUGUGGCUAAGUUCGAGUAUACUACUGUGGUCCGUCAUUUUGAAUGAAAAGUGUGCCGCGUUCACCGGAACUGUCUGUGUGGUUAGAACAACUCAAGGUAUUGUAUUUAUAAAAUACCUUAGCUGAUUAAAAUCGUAAUUCUUCGGCGAAUUUGUCCUUGAUCUUGAUGUGGAUAGAUUUGUAGAGAAUUAUACCUCUUAUUGUUCCAAUGUUUUUGCGUAUAAUUAUAUGAUUACUAAUUUAAACCAACGCGUUCCUUUGGCAACUCGACGAUCAGCUUGGACGAACACCGACAAAAACAAACAGAAURUUUUUAUCCAGUAAGUUUUGUCUCUUGAUUUUCUGUUUUGUUCUUCUUCUAGUAGUGUUGGAGAUUUCUGCUGAUGUUUUAUGGAUCGCAGGAGAAAGUGUGGAGCGCAGCGUUUUUGAGUAAAGAAUAUCGAAUAUAAACUUUCGUGCACGCAAUCAAGACGCCAUAUUGGAUUAACUGAGAAGGGCAUUGUGGCAAAUCUUUGGAAUGGCUGUUACCAUUUCUCAAGAUAGCUGUUAGUUACGACCAAGAGAAU